UAAAUUUGAGAGUUUGAUCCUAGCUCAGAAUGAACGCUGGCGGCAGGCCUAACACAUGCAAGUCGAACGGAGUUAUAUUGUAGCUUGCUAUGGUAUAACUUAGUGGCAGACGGGUGAGUAAUGUAUAGGAAUCUACCUAGUAGUACGGAAUAAUUGUUGGAAACGGCAACUAAUACCGUAUACGCCCUACGGGGGAAAAAUUUAUUGCUAUUAGAUGAGCCUAUAUUAGAUUAGCUAGUUGGUGGAGUAAUAGCCUACCAAGGCAAUGAUCUAUAGCUGAUCUGAGAGGAUGAUCAGCCACACUGGAACUGAGAUACGGUCCAGACUCCUACGGGAGGCAGCAGUGGGGAAUAUUGGACAAUGGG
rnacentral:rRNA from 2 species